CAGCCGCCACGGGAAUACGAAGGGGGCUAGCGUUGUUCGGAUUUACUGGGCGUAAAGCGCACGUAGGCGGACUUUUAAGUCAGGGGUGAAAUCCCGGGGCUCAACCCCGGAACUGCCUUUAAUACUGGAAGUCUUGAGUAUGGUAGAGGUGAGUGGAAUUCCGAGUGUAGAGGUGAAAUUCGUAGAUAUUCGGAGGAACACCGGUGGCGAAGGCGGCUCACUGGACCAUUACUGACGCUGAGGUGCGAAAGCGUGGGGAGCAAACAGGAUUAGAUACCCCUGUAGUCCCUGUCUCUUAUAC
rnacentral:rRNA from 1 species